GAUGAACGCUGACAGAAUGCCUAACACAUGCAAAUUGAAUGAUGGGAGCUAGCUUGCUAGAAGAAGUCAUGGUGGACUGGUGAGUAACGUGUAAAGAACUUGCCCUUUAGACUGGGAUAACAGGGAGAAAUUCUUGAUAAUACUAGAUAUAAUUAGACUAUGGCAUCAUGGAUUAAUGAAAGCUAAGGCGCUAAAGGAGAGCUUUGCAUCCUAUUAGCUAGUUGGUGGGUAAAGGCCUACCAAGGCGAUGAUAGGUAGCCGGCCUGAGAGGGUGAACGGCCACAAGGGGACUGAGAUACGGCCCUU
rnacentral:rRNA from 1 species